GAUGAAGAACGCAGCGAAAUGCGAUAAGUAAUGUGAAUUGCAGAAUUCAGUGAAUCAUCGAAUCUUUGAACGCACAUUGCGCCCGCCAGUAUUCUGGCGGGCAUGCCUGUUCGAGCGUCAUUUCACCACUCAAGCCUCGCUUGGUAUUGGGCAACGCGGUCCGCCGCGUGCCUCAAAUCGACCGGCUGGGUCUUCUGUCCCCUAAGCGUUGUGGAAACUUUCGCUAAAGGGUGUUCGGGAGGCUACGCCGUAAAACAACCCCAUUUCUAAGGUUGACCUCGGAUCAGGUAGGGAUACCCGCUGAACUUAAGCAUAUCAAUAAGCGGAGGA
rnacentral:misc_RNA from 1 species